rnacentral:rRNA from 2 species
UUUAGUGAGAAGAACCCUUUGGAAAAUGGGACCAUAGACGGUGAUAGUCCGGUAUUCGAAGCUAAAUGAAGCGUAGUGGUAUCCUGAGUAGCGCGGGACACGAGGAAUCUUGCGUGAAUCUGCCGGGACCAUCCGGUAAGGCUAAAUACUCCCGAGAGACCGAUAGCGAACCAGUACUGUGAAGGAAAGGUGAAAAGCACUUCGAAUAGAAGAGUGAAAUAGUCCCUGAAACCGUGCGCCUACAAGCGGUCGGAGCUGCUUCAGCAGUGACGGCGUGCCUUUUGCAUAAUGAACCUACGAGUUACUUUUUCCGGCAAGGUUAAGGAUCUUGAGAUCCGCAGCCGAAGCGAAAGCGAGUCUUAACAGGGCGAUUAGUCGGAAGGAGUAGACGCGAAACCAAGUGAUCUACCCUUGGUCAGGUUGAAGGUUAGGUAACACUAACUGGAGGACCGAACCGAUAAGCGUUGAAAAGCUUCCGGAUGAACUGAGGGUGGGGGUGAAAGGCUAAUCAAACUUGGAGAUAGCUCGUACUCCCCGAAAUGCAUUUAGGUGCAGCCUUGGGAAUUACUACUGUGAGGUAGAGCGACUGAUAAGAUGCGAGGGCUUCACCGCCUAUCAAGUCUUGAUAAACUCCGAAUGCGCAGUAGUUCGAUCCCAGGAGUGAGGGCAUGGGUGCUAAGGUCCAUGUCCUAAAGGAGAAGAAUCCGGACCAUCAGCUAAGGUCCCGAAAUAAUUGCUAAGUUGAACUAACGAAGUCAGAUUGCUAAGACAGCUAGGAUGUUGGCUUGGAAGCAGCCAUUCAUUUAAAGAGUGCGUAACAGCUCACUAGUCGAGGAGUUUGGCGUGGAUAAUAAUCGGGCAUCAAGCAAUUUACCGAAGCUAUGGGAU